UACGUAGGCAGCGAGCGUUGUUCGGAGUUACUGGGCGUAAAGAGCGUGUAGGCGGCCAAGCAGGUCCGUUGUGAAAACUGGAGGCUUAACCUCCAGACGUCGACGGAAACCGCGUGGCUAGAGUCCGGAAGAGGAGAGUGGAAUUCCUGGUGUAGCGGUGAAAUGCGCAGAUAUCAGGAGGAACACCUGUGGCGAAGGCGGCCCCCUGGUUGGAUACUGACGCUGAGACGCGAAAGCGUGGGGAGCAAACAGG
rnacentral:rRNA from 1 species